GUAAAACAAGACUAAAACAGACUAAAAAGAAGAGGUGUAUUACAUUAAAUUUCUUUGAGCUUGUGGCUGAUUUUAUUAGUGAGAUAUGUUUUCAGACACAAGAAAAGCAUGAAAGAAAAAAUGGCACACUCACAACUCACGUCUGAAAAAAGAGGUCUACAGUUUUCCUCAGGUCCCAUGUCACUUCUGUCCUCUAUGUCCAUUAACCUGCAAUCCCAGCCAAAAUUGAUCAGAUCAGGAAUUAAAAGAGACAUCUAUGGAAUGGAUGUAAAAGGAGCCAGCUGCCUGAGAACAGGUCUUGAAAACUCUGACUGCCAGGAAUUCUCUCUUCUGAUUGGUAAAUCACCA
rnacentral:lncRNA from 1 species